rnacentral:rRNA from 1 species
UACGUAGAGUGCAAGCGUUGUCCGGAAUUAUUGGGCGUAAAGAGCUCGUAGGCGGUUUGUCGCGUCUGCUGUGAAAACUCGGGGCUUAACCCCGGGCCUGCAGUGGGUACGGGCAGACUAGAGUGCGGUAGGGGAGACUGGAAUUCCUGGUGUAGCGGUGAAAUGCGCAGAUAUCAGGAGGAACACCGGUGGCGAAGGCGGGUCUCUGGGCCGAUACUGACGCUGAGGAGCGAAAGCGUGGGGAGCAAACAGG